AGAGUUUGAUCCUGGCUCAGAACGAACGCUGGCAGCGUGGAUUAGGCAUGCAAGUCGAACGAUAGUAACAGAGUAGCAAUACAAUGUUACGAGAGUGGCGGAAGGGCGAGUAAGGCAUGGGUAAUUUGCCCUUGAACUGGGGAUAACCUUGCGAAAGCGAGGUUAAUACCGAAUGUGGCCCCUGAACGCAUGUUCAGGCGGCUAAAGGUGGGGACCGCAAGGCCUGCCGUUCAAGGAUAAGCCCGUGUGCCAUCAGCUAGUUGGUGAGGUAACGGCUCACCAAGGCUUACGGCUAGCUGGUCUGAGAGGACGACCAGCCGCACUGGGACUGAGAUACUGCCCAGACUCCUACGGGAGGCUGCAGUCGAGGAUCAUUCGCAAUGGGCGAAAGCCUGACGAUGCGACGCUGCGUGGAGGAUGAAGGCCUUCGGGUUGUAAACUCCUGUCAUGAGGGAAAAAUGUGUCGGUGAUGAAUAUUCACUGGCCUGGAUGGUACCUCAAGAGGAAGCCACGGCUAACUCUGUGCCAGCAGCCGCGGUAAUACAGAGGUGGCAAGCGUUGUUCGGAUUUACUGGGCGUAAAGGGCGCGUAGGCGGUUAUGUGUGUCGAGUGUGAAAUCUCCGGGCUCAACCCGGAAAGUGCGCUCGAAACUGCAUAACUUGAGCACAGGAGGGGAGAGCGGAAUUUAAGGUGUAGCGGUGAAAUGCGUUGAUAUCUUAAAGAACACCGGUGGCGAAGGCGGCUCUCUGGAAUGUUGCUGACGCUGAGGCGCGAAAGUUGGGGGAGCAAACAGGAUUAGAUACCCUGGUAGUC
rnacentral:rRNA from 1 species